GGGGCCUCACCGGGCAUCCUCUCCGAGUGCCACCACCUGGACAGAGCCGCUAGCGCCAUCUGGGGCAACCCUCUCCAGCCAGGGGAGCACCUCCGCCCUGCAUGCCCGCUGGAAGGAGGCCACGGGAGCCGGGUACGUGGCAGCGUUGUACUCCCUGGAGCCCCCUGCGCUGGUGGAGAACAGCUCCGUGCCGGGAGGCGUCACCCACCUCACCUACAAGGGGCUGAGCCCGGGGACCCACUACGCCGUCGAGAUCAGCACAGUGGCUGGGCCUUACGCCUCCCCGCCCCUGCGCGUCACCAACUGGACGUAUCCUUCCCCAGUGGAAGAACUGAACCUCCUCAACCAAGGCUGCAGCACCUCCUUGCUCGCCUCCUGGAAAGCAGCCGGCGGCAGGGUGAAUUACACCGGCGUGCUCCUCGAAGCCCAGUCGCAGGCGUGGGUCAGAAACGUGAGCGUGGGGGGGAGCUGCGCGAACGUCACCGUGGAGGGGCUGAGCCCCGGGCGUCAGUAUACCCUGCAGAUGGGGGCGGUGGCCGGACCUUG